GUGCCAGCAGCCGCGGUAAUACGUAGGGUGCAAGCGUUAAUCGGAAUUACUGGGCGUAAAGCGUGCGCAGGCGGUUCGGAAAGAAAGAUGUGAAAUCCCAGAGCUUAACUUUGGAACUGCAUUUUUAACUACCGAGCUAGAGUGUGUCAGAGGGAGGUGGAAUUCCGCGUGUAGCAGUGAAAUGCGUAGAUAUGCGGAGGAACACCGAUGGCGAAGGCAGCCUCCUGGGAUAACACUGACGCUCAUGCACGAAAGCGUGGGGAGCAAACAGGAUUAGAUACCCUGGUAGUCC
rnacentral:rRNA from 1 species